ACACCAUGGAGCGGGAGUGUACCAGAAGCAGGUAGGCUAACCGCAAGGGGGCCGCUUACCACGGUGCGUUUCGUGACUGGGGUG
rnacentral:rRNA from 1 species